rnacentral:tRNA from 1 species
GCCUAGUUAGCUGAGCUGGUAGCGCGUCUGCCUUGUAAGCGCUAGGCCGUGGGUUCGAUUCCCGCCCGGGGCG